UGCAUGGGGGACAAAGAGGGGCAUAUAGUCAUGGAAGCACCAUUGAGGACUCCUAGUCCUUUACUGCUUCUGAGGGUGCUUGUUCCUUCCCUCCUUCUGAGCUCCGUGAUCCUCCUUCUGGGCUACAUGAUCUUCUUCCUGACUUCUCUUCUUCUUGCCAUUCUUCUUUCAUCCUAGUAGGUGAAGGACUUCACUCUCCUUGGCAUGGGUAUACUUUCAUGCUUGGGCGAGGAGAUCGGCAUAGUCUCUAGAAAAAUUUUUGUUAAGAAAGAAGAUGAGGCAUUUAUCCCUAAAUUCUCAUUUCAUCAUCGAUAUGGUGAUGGACUCAUUGAAGUCACAAACUUCAAGCCUGAUGGUGUUGAAAUGCACCACA
rnacentral:lncRNA from 1 species